UGUCUGGGGAUCUGCCUGAUGGUGGGGGAUAACUACUGGAAACGGUAGCUAAUACCGCAUAACGUCGCAAGACCAAAGUGGGGGACCUUCGGGCCUCACGCCAUCGGAUGAACCCAGAUGGGAUUAGCUAGUAGGUGAGGUAAUGGCUCACCUAGGCGACGAUCCCUAGCUGGUCUGAGAGGAUGACCAGCCACACUGGAACUGAGACACGGUCCAGACUCCUACGGGAGGCAGCAGUGGGGAAUAUUGCACAAUGGGCGCAAGCCUGAUGCAGCCAUGCCGCGUGUGUGAAGAAGGCCUUCGGGUUGUAAAGCACUUUCAGCGGGGAGGAAGGCGAUAAGGUUAAUAACCUUGUUGAUUGACGUUACCCGCAGAAGAAGCACCGGCUAACUCCGUGCCAGCAGCCGCGGUAAUACGGAGGGUGCGAGCGUUAAUCGGAAUUACUGGGCGUAAAGCGUACGCAGGCGGUCUGUUAAGUCAGAUGUGAAAUCCCCGGGCUUAACCCGGGAACUGCAUUUGAAACUGGCAGGCUAGAGUCUCGUAGAGGGGGGUAGAAUUCCAGGUGUAGCGGUGAAAUGCGUAGAGAUCUGGAGGAAUACCGGUGGCGAAGGCGGCCCCCUGGACGAAGACUGACGCUCAGGUACGAAAGCGUGGGGAGCAAACAGGAUUAGAUACCCUGGUAGUCCACGCUGUAAACGAUGUCGAUUUGAAGGUUGUGGCCUUGAGCCGUGGCUUUCGGAGCUAACGCGUUAAAUCGACCGCCUGGGGAGUACGGCCGCAAGGUUAAAACUCAAAUGAAUUGACGGGGGCCCGCACAAGCGGUGGAGCAUGUGGUUUAAUUCGAUGCAACGCGAAGAACCUUACCUACUCUUGACAUCCA
rnacentral:rRNA from 1 species